rnacentral:rRNA from 1 species
UACGAAGGGGGCUAGCGUUGCUCGGAAUUACUGGGCGUAAAGCGCGUGUAGGCGGUUGUUCAAGUCAGGUGUGAAAGCCUUGAGCUCAACUCAAGAAAUGCACUUGAUACUGGAUGACUAGAGGACCGGAGAGGAUAGUGGAAUUCCCAGUGUAGUGGUGAAAUACGUAGAGAUUGGGAAGAACACCAGUGGCGAAGGCGGCUAUCUGGACGGUUUCUGACGCUAAGACGCGAAAGCGUGGGGAGCAAACAGG